AGUGAACGCUGGCGGUAGGCCUAACACAUGCAAGUCGAACGGCAGCACAGUAAGAGCUUGCUCUUACGGGUGGCGAGUGGCGGACGGGUGAGGAGUACAUCGGAAUCUACUUUUUCGGGGGGGAUAACGUAGGGAAACUUAUGCUAAUACAGCAUACGACCUACGGGUGAAAGCAGGGGAUCUUCGGACCUUGCGCGACUGAAUGAGACGAUGCCGGAUUAGCUAGUUGGCGGGGUAAAGGCACACCAAGGCAACGAUACGUAGCUGAUCUGAGAGGAUGAUCAGCCACACUGGAACUGAGACACGGUCCAGACUCCUACGGGAGGCAGCAGUAGGGAAUAUUCGACAAUGGGCGCAAGCCUGACGCAGCCAUGCCGCGUGAGUGAAGAAGGCCUUCGGGUUGUAAAGCCCUUUUGUUGGGAAAGAAAAGCAGCAGGUUAAUCCCCCGCUGUUCUGACGGUACCCAAAGAAUAAGCACCGGCUAACUUCGUG
rnacentral:rRNA from 1 species